rnacentral:rRNA from 1 species
AACGAACGCUGGCGGCAGGCUUAACACAUGCAAGUCGAACGGGUGCAGCAAUGCAUCAGUGGCAGACGGGUGAGUAACACGUGGGAACCUUCCUAGGGGUACGGAACAACUCAGGGAAACUUGAGCUAAUACCGUAUACGUCCGUAAGGAGAAAGAUUCAUCGCCCCUAGACGGGCCCGCGUCGGAUUAGGUAGUUGGUGGGGUAACGGCCUACCAAGCCUACGAUCCGUAGCUGAUCNGAGAGGAUGAUCAGCCACACUGGGACUGAGACACGGCCCAGACUCCUACGGGAGGCAGCAGUGGGGAAUCUUGGACAAUGGGCGCAAGCCUGAUCCAGCCAUGCCGCGUGAGUGAAGAAGGCCUUAGGGUUGUAAACCUCUUUCAGCUCCGACGAAGCGGAAGUGACGGUAGGAGCAGAAGAAGCACCGGCCAACUACGUGCCAGCCGCCGCCGUAAU